rfam:Mus musculus chromosome 14, GRC primary reference assembly.
AACCCCGGGCAAUCGGCAAAGGGACACCUUAUUAGUGGUGGUGUUCUUAUAUCAGCCAGGGGCAGAGAAGAUGACAGUCCUUAGCUCAUCCUAGCCUGCUGCCUGGCUUGGUGGCCAAAGCUGUCUUAAGCCUAAGACUCUUAA